UUUUUUCCUAAGUUUCUCUCAGCAUAGCUGGAGUUCAUUUAGCUUUAUCAGGUAAAGCAAAUGAUUGGAGGCCUGCAGGGCGCGUUGCCGUCGACCCCUCAAACUGUAGGUGGGUGAGAUCCAGCUGUUACUUUAUUGAACUGCUGGGGUUAAUAUGGACUCCAAGUCAACUUUUUUUGUUAAGCAGAACUGGGGAUGAGGGAUGCUCCUAACACGUGGAUAAUGUGCCUAAAUACUCGCUCACCAGGUACCGAUGUGUGUGAUGUGUGUCUGCAUUUUGACAGCAGAUAUGUGACCAUGGAAUUCGAAAUCCACCAAGAAGUGUGUAACAUCGUACAAGCCGAAUGAACCAGCUUUGAAAAUGGAUGAAGCUGCAACGGGUUACCAAUACCAGGCCAUUAUUGCAAGUUUUGAGCACUCGACGUUUUCCGAUGAGUAGGAAGGCGUGGGAAUCGCAGCGCAGCGAAGCAUUUGGUGUGAGUCUGUGUGGGACGGUCUCUAGUG
rnacentral:ncRNA from 1 species